UGUACGGUACGAGGUCGUGUCUGCACCCUGACCAAGCAGAAGUAGCUUAGCCGCGCGAGACGGUCGAGAAAAACGCGCGAGAUGAACGAAACGCGGCGCUGAGCAGCGCGCGGAUGCGUGCGGAAAAAGGAAGGAGGCGAAGAAACUUGGCAAGAGCCAUACAUUUGCCGCGCCAUUAGUGCCAGACCGGGGCGCUAGCCAUCGCCAUUAAGUAGAGAGAAAUUGAUCGAUAUUGCAGCAACCGGCCGUAAUAACGCAGCACCUAAUAGGUAAUAAUUAAUCGCGACCGCGCUAGCAUAAAGGCUGUUUCCAUAUCAAUCUUUUGCGUUGACGUGUUGCCGGAAACAGAAGCCCGACGAAAAAGGCAAGGAGAAAAACGGCCAAUGUCGAUUAUAAAGACGAUGAAGAAAUUUCAUUGGAUUGUACGUCGUGGAAAAAUCCGGCGCGGUCCAGCCAAGUUACAGAAUUCUUUCCCAUAUUAUUGCGGAGCAAAAUUAGGAGUCAUAAAAAAAUAAUCGAUGGAGAAAGGGACAGGGAUGACGGAACUAUCGAUUAGCCCUUUUUGAAGCAACGGCCGGGGUCAGGUCAGCCACUGUUUCGCCAGUUCGGACGGCGCAGCGGUGACCGCUCAUGAUUACGCGAACGCACAGGCGGAACCCCCUCGGCAAACAAAUGACGAGCCAUAAAUACGUUGGCACCGAAGGUGCUAGGUAGGGAGUGUCCGAUAUUAAUAAGCGGUCAUUAAGAGAUACGGUCUCGGGGCUAUGGACAAUGGGGGGCGGACGCGAAAGAGCCCGCGAGGAGAAUAGGCGUUGUAAAUCUUGGUGACCGGGACCGGCUCUCCCGAAGAAAUCGCUCGGCGCGCUUCCCACGUGACGUUGCGGUGCCGCCGCAUUUUCCACGCCGAUUUCUAUACACAUUUCUACACCCGCUGGAUUCCGGAUUAGCCGCGUUCGUGCGCGUCCCGAAAACCGGCUUUGUUUCUUUCGGCUUCGAAUUCGUUCGAGACGAACCGACGUGAUUACGACGCCCAGGACGAUAGAACUCGGCUGCUUGAUUAUGUUUCCAAGACAAUGCGGCAAAAAACAAUAGCGAAAUAGGCCAAAGUGCUGUUAGAUCGGAAUCAAUGACGCGGAUCAGUUGUUAAGGUAAUUGAGUUGUUGACACAAUAUCGUCGUAUAAAAAGUGCUUCAAAGCUGCUUCAAUUUUUCAAACAAUGUUAUGCAAUUUCUAAUAAUCUAUUAAUUGCGAAAAAAUAACCAAAAACGUAUUAUUUUCAAAAACAAUACGAUUUAACAAUAAUAAUAAAAUAUCGA